UACGGAGGGUGCGAGCGUUGCUCGGAAUUAUUGGGCGUAAAGCGUACGCAGGCGGCUCGGUAAGUCGAGUGUGAAAUCCCGAGGCUCAACUUCGGACGUGCAUUCGAUACUGUCGAGCUUGAAUGCGGGAGAGGGAUGCAGAAUUCCAGGUGUAGCGGUGAAAUGCGUAGAUAUCUGGAGGAAUACCGGUGGCGAAGGCGGCAUCCUGGACCGGCAUUGACGCUGAGGAGCGAAAGCUAGGGGAGCAAACGGG
rnacentral:rRNA from 1 species